rnacentral:lncRNA from 10 species
CAAAGUCCUUGUCCCUAAUGGGGGGGUUAGAUGCUCUUUUUCCAUGGGUCUUUUCCACAUUUAGCCCUGCAUGACUGUCUCCCAUGCCCUGAAGCAAGCCUCAGUUGGCUCCAAAUAAAUUCCCUCACACGGUUGGCUAGGAAAGACUGAAGUCACUGAUUUGGAAAACACAGUAGAACCACAAGCCAAAUUUCACCCACAAGAGAGAAAUAAGAAUAACUCCCAGGACACCUCAGGAAAAUUUCUACUUGGGUACCCGUUCUGAAAAACCAGGUUGGCCUUCUCAACCUAGGAAGGAAAGGAGGGUGGCAAAGGUGCCCUGCACAGACAAAGCUGCUGAAUGAAGGAAGAGAUGAUAACGCCCUCUUUGGCACCCAGCUCUUUCUGGGAGGCACAUCCUCACCCAGUUGGAAGGGAAUGAAGACUGUCUCAUCUGUCAGACCUCUGGACAUAGCCCUGUGGCACAAAGAGAUGUGUCUUUAGGCAAAAUUAGGCACCAUGUGAAUUUGAUUUCUGUUCCUAGUAUAAAGGGGCUGUGACUAAUUUUAUGUUCUGCGAGUGGUUUUGAGGAAUGAAAAAUCUAUUCUUCCCACCCCCAGCCGCCCACUCCCUCAAAUAAGGGUUUCCUUUUCCCAAGACGCCAGAUUGCUUUGCAGACAAUGCCACUCACUUGUUAUAGGAGGUUCUGGGAGAAGUUGGCAUAGAGCAUACUUCUGUUCUUGGACAUUCUCUGGCUUAAUGGACACUGGACUUAUCAGUGACCCAUGGUUGUGGACAGCUGCUGCUUUUCUUGUCUGCGACACCCCCUCAGAUGCACAAAAACACACACAGGAAGCCCCAAUAUGGUGACCUUAAGAGCUAGUUUGAAAAAUACUUUUGUUUUAGAAACUGUGUGGGCUGGUAGAAAGACGAAGUGAAGCUUUCACAAUUAAGAACUGUGCUUUGGAGUGUUGAUCCCAGGAGACAAACUCCCAGAAAACAUCCCUUCACUGCUCUUGACUUUGGCCUUCACUUUAAAAUACAUGAUCCACCAAUUAGGCAUCCAAUUGGGUUUCUAAGAUUUAUUUUUAAAAAUGUGAGGAUGAAGGGAUUCCCAGUCACUGAGAAUGAAGGAUGAAGGGGUUCCCAGUCACUCACAUUGUAGUGAGAAUUAGUCCAAGAAAAUAGCUUUCCUCUGAACCCCUUUAUGCAUUCGGCUACUUUGAGACAGUGAGACUUGGAGUGAGAGAGAAUGGUAAUUUUAGCAAUAGUGCACGUUGGGGACUGAGGACCUGAAUUAAGAGAUUCCUACGUUUGAAUUCCAACAUUUUCUAAUGUUCAGAUGCAUCUGAUAAACCAGUAAUUUGUCUAAGGAGAUUGACAACCAUUUAAAUAAAACACUGUCUUCAUGGUGGUGGUGGUAGUGGGGGGCAGCGUUUGUUACUAGUUCUGAACAACCAGCUUGCAAGUGAAUUUUUUCAGUCAGUAAUUUAGACUGUGCAAAUGAUGAAACUGACAUUCAGAAAGGCAAAAAGGUCUCACAUGUACGGUAGUGAAAAAAGAAUUUAUUCCUCCAAAUGUAGGGUCAUGGUGUUACAGAUAAAGGAAGGGCUCUUAUGCAAAUAAAUCCA